rnacentral:rRNA from 1 species
CAGCCGCGGUAAUACGGAGGGUGCAAGCGUUAAUCGGAAUUACUGGGCGUAAAGCGCACGCAGGCGGUCUGACAAGUCAGAUGUGAAAUCCCCGGGCUUAACCUGGGAACUGCAUUUGAAACUGUCAGGCUGGAGUCUUGUAGAGGGGGGUGGAAUUCCAGGUGUAGCGGUGAAAUGCGUAGAGAUCUGGAGGAAUACCGGUGGCGAAGGCGGCCCCCUGGACAAAGACUGACGCUCAGGUGCGAAAGCGUGGGGAGCAAACAGGAUUAGAUACCCCCGCAGUCCCUGUCUCUUAUACACA